CAGUCGACGGGGUAUCAGGGUAGUAAUACCCGAAGUACCUAGUGGCGAACGGGUGCGUAACACGUGAGCAACCUACCCCAGAGCUUGGAAUAACACCGGGAAACCGGUGCUAAUACCGAAUACUCUCAUUCGGCCGCAUGACUGAAUGAGGAAAGAUUUAUCACUCUGGGACGGGCUCGCGGCCUAUCAGCUUGUUGGUGAGGUAACGGCUCACCAAGGCUACGACGGGUAGCUGGUCUGAGAGGACGAUCAGCCACACUGGGACUGAGACACGGCCCAGACUCCUACGGGAGGCAGCAGUGGGGAAUAUUGCGCAAUGGGCGAAAGCCUGACGCAGCAACGCCGCGUGGAGGAUGAAGGCUUUCGGGUUGUAAACUCCUUUCAGCAGGGACGAAACUGACGGUACCUGCAGAAGAAGCCCCGGCUAACUCCGUGCCAGCAGCCGCGGUAAUACGGGGGGUGCAAGCGUUAAUCGGAAUCACUGGGCGUAAAGGGUGCGUAGGCGGUACGUUAGGUCUGUCGUGAAAUCCCCGGGCUCAACCUGGG
rnacentral:rRNA from 1 species